AGUGAACGCUGGCGGUAGGCCUAACACAUGCAAGUCGAACGGCAGCACAGUAAGAGCUUGCUCUUACGGGUGGCGAGUGGCGGACGGGUGAGGAAUACAUCGGAAUCUACUUUUUCGUGGGGGAUAACGUAGGGAAACUUACGCUAAUACCGCAUACGACCUACGGGUGAAAGCAGGGGAUCUUCGGACCCUGCGCGAUUGAAUGAGCCGAUGUCGGAUUAGCUAGUUGGCGGGGUAAAGGCCCACCAAGGCGACGAUCCGUAGCUGGUCUGAGAGGAUGAUCCGCCACACUGGCACUGAGACACGGUCCAGACUCCUACGGGAGGCAGCAGUGGGGAAUAUUGGACAAUGGGCGCAAGCCUGAUCCAGCCAUACCGCGUGGGUGGAGAAGGCCUUCGGGUUGUAAAGCCCUUUUGUUGGGAAAGAAAAGCAGCAGGUUAAUACCCCGCUGUUCUGACGGUACCCAAAGAAUAAGCACCGGCUAACUUCGUG
rnacentral:rRNA from 1 species